AACCCGAGCGUCUCUAGCGUCCAACAAGACGUUCUCCGAGAUCGGUACCCAGUACCCGACCCCAGCGCCCCUGAAGACGGCAGCGGUGUCGGAGCUCCGGGCAGCGAACGUCUCCAUCAAGUCUGAGCCUCAGGAACUCACACAGGAGGAAAUGAGUGAAGAUAGUAAAAACACCCUGAGACUGAGCACUGACUCUGAGCCAGAGGAGACCACGACCUUUACUAAGGUCAAGGUCAAACAGGAGGCAGUAGAACCAGAAUCCUCCUACGUGUUCUCACCACCAGUCACCGUGGUGCCGCGAUCUGAACAGAGAGGUA